UAGCUCGUUGUGCUGCGCUGUGCUCAUGCCUGCACACCGGAGGGUUUCCUGAACCAACCUGAGCGGGUCAAAGGUCAGAGGCGCCUCAGAGUUUUUCUCACAGCGGAUAAACGAGGAGCUUACCGCUUAAACCGGGCUGCAUUAAAGGAUCAAAGUCCAACGUUUUACAGCAGUGUGUCGCGCUGUACAUGAGAAACUCUCAUCCCUCAGGUGAUGAUUUUCACAGAGUACACUGGUAAAAGCCAUGAAGCAAAUCAACAUGGACCACCUACAGCAUCUUAGGGAAGUUUCUGGAAGAGGUCCGAUUCCAGCUGGCCAAGCUCACGGGAAUGAAAUGAUCUUCUGCUGCAGUUUGGUGCCAAAUCACAUUAACUGGAUUUUACCGUUCCUGGACUUCAUCACGAAGGAAUUUUGUGCUUGGGUGAUAAAUUUAGGGAGUGUGUAAUUAAUACGGGCAUUGUUUUGGAUGCUUGGAUUCGAACUGCUUUUACCAAUAAGUGUCUGUUCUGAUAACGAGUGCUUCCCCCAGUGAGAAGUCUUAAUUUAUUCUAACUCUUGUGAGAUUAAACCAAUGCUUUAAAAAUCA